rnacentral:piRNA from 1 species
UAUUGGCUGAAUUGCAUCAGGAGCAUGACU